GGCUCCCGGUCCUCCAGAUCACCGAGCCGGAUUCCUAGAGCAGCCCCCGCAGAGGCGCCACCCGGAAGUUCAGGCUCCCAGAGGGGACCCAAGCGUGCAUUCCGUAAAGCUCGCCCUCCUCUCUGUACCCUGAGGCUGACCUCAGGUGGCUGUCCUUUGACAGGAAAAAUGAACGAGGCACAGUGGCUGUCGCAUGAAGGGUCGCAGGGCUGCGUGGUAAGGGACGAACCCCCAGAGAGCCUAUGGAGAACAGCCUGGGCCUAGCCCUGGCUCUAGUUGCUAGAUCGCUGCGGAUAAGACCAAAGGAGGCUGACAUGAGAUAAUCCUCGGGUGCAGGGUACAUGGAUGCCCAGAGAUGAAGCUGCAAGGAUGCUACAUCUUCAGUUACCGCUUUGCCAGAGCAACUGAGAAGUAACUGAAGGUUGGAAGAUAUCAAAAGCGGCGUCCUGGUCAGGAGGAUUUGCUGAGCAUCCUGAACUGACCCCUGGCACAGGCUCCGAUGAGGUCAAGAGAGGGGCCCAGAGCCCAGAAUCCGGACCACAGCUAAAUUUAGUCUCGCCGACCUUCAGUGUCCCUGUCCUUUGUGCCCACACCCAUGCCAGUGUUGGAAAAUGUUUUCGUUUUCUUUGAAUAUUACAAUCUACGGGUCCAAAGCCAA